rnacentral:rRNA from 1 species
CAACUUUUAACAACGGAUCUCUGGGCUCUUGCAACGAUGAAGAACGCAGCCAAAUGCGAUACGUAAUGCGAUCUGCACGAAUCUGUGAGUCAUCGAGUCUUUGAACGCAACUUGCGCCACUUGUGGCAUGUCUGU